rnacentral:rRNA from 1 species
UAGAGUUUGAUCCUGGCUCAGGACGAACGCUGGCGGCGCGCCUAACACAUGCAAGUCGAACGAGCGAGAGGAGGUUUACUUUCUCAAGCGAGUGGCGAACGGGUGAGUAACGCGUGAGGAACCUGCCUCAAAGAGGGGGACAACAGUUGGAAACGACUGCUAAUACCGCAUAAGCCCACGACCCGGCAUCGGGUAGAGGGAAAAGGAGCAAUCCGCUUUGAGAUGGCCUCGCGUCCGAUUAGCUAGUUGGUGAGGUAAUGGCCCACCAAGGCGACGAUCGGUAGCCGGACUGAGAGGUUGAACGGCCACAUUGGGACUGAGACACGGCCCAGACUCCUACGGGAGGCAGCAGUGGGGAAUAUUGCACAAUGGGGGAAACCCUGAUGCAGCGACGCCGCGUGGAGGAAGAAGGUCUUCGGAUUGUAAACUCCUGCUGUUGAGGAAGAUAAUGACGGUACUCAACAAGGAAGUGACGGCUAACUACGUGCCAGCAGCCGCGGUAAAACGUAGGUCACAAGCGUUGUCCGGAAUUACUGGGUGUAAAGGGAGCGCAGGCGGGAAGGCAAGUUGGAAGUGAAAUCCAUGGGCUCAACCCAUGAACUGCUUUCAAAACUGUUUUUCUUGAGUAGUGCAGAGGUAGGCGGAAUUCCCGGUGUAGCGGUGGAAUGCGUAGAUAUCGGGAGGAACACCAGUGGCGAAGGCGGCCUACUGGGCACCAACUGACGCUGAGGCUCGAAAGUGUGGGUAGCAAACAGGAUUAGAUACCCUGGUAGUCCACACUGUAAACGAUGAUUACUAGGUGUUGGAGGAUUUGACCCCUUCAGGUGCCGCAGUUUAACACAAUAAGUAAAUCCACCUGGGGAGUACGACCGCAAGGUUGAAACUCAAAGGAAUUGACGGGGGCCCGCACAAGCAGUGGAGUAUGUGGUUUAAUUCGACGCAACGCGAAGAACCUUACCAAGUCUUGACAUCCUGCGACGCACAUAGAAAUAUGUGUUUCCUUCGGGACGCAGAGACAGGUGGUGCAUGGUUGUCGUCAGCUCGUGUCGUGAGAUGUUGGGUUAAGUCCCGCAGCGAGCGCAACCCUUAUGGUCAGUUACUACGCAAGAGGACUCUGGCCAGACUGCCGUUGACAAAACGGAGGAAGGUGGGGAUGACGUCAAAUCAUCAUGCCCUUUAUGACUUGGGCUACACACGUACUACAAUGGCGUUAAACAAAGAGAAGCAAGACCGCGAGGUGGAGCAAAACUCAGAAACAACGUCCCAGUUCGGACUGCAGGCUGCAACUCGCCUGCACGAAGUCGGAAUUGCUAGUAAUCGCAGAUCAGCAUGCUGCGGUGAAUACGUUCCCGGGCCUUGCACACACCGCCCGUCA